CUGACGACAGGUCGGGCAAGCACGAACAAGUUUAGACUUCAACAGGUAAGCUUAUUUCUCUCUGAUUGAGAAUAUUAGAUGCAUGCACCGUCAAACAUGUUUUAUUAUUUCAGCUCAUUUUGGUGCAGUUUUUCAAAACACAAAAAUUAAAGAAAAAAAAAAAAAGUCUCUAGCAGGUCCUAUGAUUUGUUUUGAUGAACUAUGGAACAGUCAUAACAGUGCUGAUCAAGCGCUGAGUUUAACUUGUUUUUCCACUUUAGCCACAGAAAUCAUGGCAAACCCCUCCGAGAGGAUUGAUCACGUGAGUACAUGUGAGUACAUGUUAACACCGUUUAUAUGCUUAAACUACAAAGCCUGCAUUAUUGUGACACACAAACUACAUGAAGUCCUGAAGUGUUUGUGCUUAUGCUCUCCAAGUGCUCAAAACUUCACAGCUCACAAAAUUACACUUCCCUUAUAACCAUGAUAGCAUGUGGCGGCAUCUUCUUCUUCCAGCCACACACACUUCACCAGCACGGGGAAAUGUGGAUUUGACAGAGGAAGACACACGCUGUAUCAAACUUGCAAAACACAUUCACAUCAACACAAGGAAGUGAGAAGGACUGUUGUCGGUCUGCUGUGAGGAACAUAUUCACAUCAAACACAAUCUAGUAUGUAUUCAUUAUACUCUAUUCCUCUCCUUCAAGCUCUAUUUAUUUCACAGCAGAUGCAAGAAAGUGUGGAGGAAACGACAGGAAUGGUGAGAGGGAGAAGAUGGAUGCAUCUAAUUUCCCGGUUUAGACCUGUUAAACACGCUUUAGUGUGUUCCAGCUGAAGCGUUCCUGCCUGCAUCAUUAGCCUGGAAAUGAUCAACAGUUGAGAUGUUGUAAUCCUGAUCCACGCUCACACACAAACUCUAGACCGGAUGCUGAAGCUGCACUCGUUUUUGACAGUUCUUCAGUCUGUUGUUUACGGCGUUAGUGAAUUAAUACCCAUAAUCAUGUCGUCCAACUGUCUCAACUUUGUAAGUAAAUGUGUUUUGUGUUUAAAUACUUGUGGGAUUUACACGUAAAUUCAUCCUCUUCUUCCAAAAAGGCGAGUGGCUUGUGACAUGAUGAAUGUAGUAAAUGUAAUGUUCACAUUCAUUGUGUUUGUGAAUAAAAUGGCUUUAAAUGAUGCUGUAAAUAUGCAGUGUGUGUCAUCAUACAAAACACAACAUUUAAAUAGUCUUCUUGCACAGCUGAGCAGCAGCAGCGAGGGGGAUGAAAAUAAAGUCUACACCUUGGUGGUGAGGGGCAGGAAGAGAUACAAGAUGCUCAAAAAGAUCAAUGACAGCUUGGAGUUAAGUGCUGCUGUGCCGGAGGAAGAGGCACAGCACUACAUGGAGAAAAACAAGGAGGAGAAGAGCCAGGAGUCGGCCUAAGUGUGAUGCCGCCCAGAGUGUUUCAUAGUUGAUGUUUUAUUGUAUUUGUAUAUAGUUCGUUUAGUGUUCCUAAUAAAAUUCCCCUUAAACCAUUGUUUAAUUUAUUUCUUUUAUUAGCGCCAACAAAGC